GUCUUCACUAUUGGGCAUUGAACUUAUGGAGUGUGCUUCUCUUAGCACUUUGAAUGACUAAAUAUCAAUGCCUGCUCCUUACAAUACCAUUUCUAAAGAACUGAACUAGGUUUGGUCUUGUGGGCUAGAAGCUGUGGUAGCGAUGGUAGAAUGAGUCCCAUGAGGUUGGAUGCCCCUUUCCAAACUGGCCUCUCUCCCUCAUCACUAGCUUCAUGGCCUCAGGUAAGAAAUUUAAAUUUUCUGUAUCCAUUAAAUUGUUUUUACAGAAAACGAUUUUUCAAAGCUCUCUGCUCUAUGGGACUUGCCUCCCAAAUCCACUUCUUUUCUGUGUCCUCGUAAAGC
rnacentral:lncRNA from 1 species